UGGGGAAUCUUGCACAAUGGAGGAAACUCUGAUGCAGCGACGCCGCGUGAGCGAAGGAGCCUUUCGGGGUGUAAAGCUCUUACGCCAGGGACGAUAAUGACGGUACCUGGAGAAGCAGCUGCGGCUAACUACGUGCCAGCAGCCGCGGUAAUACGUAGGCAGCAAGCGUUGUUCGGAAUUACUGGGCGUAAAGGGUGCGUAGGCGGCGCUCUAAGUUUGGUGUGAAAUCUCCCGGCUUAACUGGGAGGGUGCACUGAAAACUGGGGCGCUCGAGUAUGGGAGAGGAAAGCGGAAUUCCUGGUGUAGCGGUGAAAUGCGUAGAGAUCAGGAGGAACACCUGCGGUGCAGACGGCUUUCUGGACCAUCACUGACGCUGAGGCACGAAAGCGUGGGUAGCAAACA
rnacentral:rRNA from 1 species